rnacentral:rRNA from 1 species
UACGGGAGGCAGCAGUGGGGAAUAUUGCACAAUGGGCGCAAGCCUGAUGCAGCGACGCCGCGUGAGUGAUGAAGUGCUUCGGCAUGUAAAGCUCUAUCAACAGGGAAGAAAAUGACGGUACCUGAAUAAGAAGCCCCGGCUAACUACGUGCCAGCAGCCGCGGUAAU